CAGCCGCCACGGUAAGACAGAGGAUGCAAGCGUUAUCCGGAAUGAUUGGGCGUAAAGCGUGCGCAGGCGGUUAUAUAAGACAGAUGUGAAAUCCCCGGGCUCAACCUGGGAACUGCAUUUGUGACUGUAUAGCUAGAGUACGGCAGAGGGGGAUGGAAUUCCGCGUGUAGCAGUGAAAUGCGUAGAUAUGCGGAGGAACACCGAUGGCGAAGGCAAUCCCCUGGGCCUGUACUGACGCUCAUGCACGAAAGCGUGGGGAGCAAACAGGAUUAGAUACCCCGGUAGUCCCUGUCUCUUAUAC
rnacentral:rRNA from 1 species